rnacentral:rRNA from 1 species
AAUUCCUGUACUUGGUAACUGGAGCGAAGGGGGGACGGAGAAAGUUAGGCCAUCCGGGUGUUGGAAGUCCCGGUUUAAGUGAGUAGGAAGAACGAUUAGGUAAAUCCGGUUGUUCAUUAUUCUGAGACACGAUGACGAUCUUAUGUAAUGUAAGAGAAGUGGUUGAUACUAUGCUUCCAGGAAAAUCCUCUAAGUGAUGAAGGUUGCUGAACCGUACCGUAAACCGACACAGGUGGACAAGUUGAGAAUACUAAGGCGCUUGAGAUAACUCGGGUGAAGGAACUAGGCAAAUUGACACCGUAACUUCGGGAGAAGGUGUGCCUUGAGUAUGUGAAGGCCCUGCGGCUGGAGCAGAAAGAGGUUGCAAAGAAUCGGUGGCUGCGACUGUUUAUUAAAAACACAGCACUCUGCGAACUCGGAAGAGGAAGUAUAGGGUGUGACGCCUGCCCGGUGCUGGAAGGUUAAGUGAUGGGGUUAACCGCAAGGUGAAGCUCUUGAUCGAAGCCCCAGUAAACGGCGGCCGUAACAAUAACGGUCCUAAGGUAGCGAAAUUCCUUGUCGGGUAAGUUCCGACCUGCACGAAAGGCGUAACGAUAGCCACACUGUCUCCACCCGAGACUCAGUGAAGUUGAAAUCGCUGUGAAGAUGCAGUGUACCCGCGGCAAGACGGAAAGACCCCGUGCACCUUUACUAUAGCUUUACACUGGACUUUGAGCGUGUCUGUGUAGGAUAGGUGGGAGGCUAUGAAGUUAGGGCGCUAGCCCUAGUGGAGCCAACCUUGAAAUACCACCCUGACAAGUUUGAGGUUCUAACCUAGUCCCGUAAUCCGGGACGGGGACAGUGUAUGGUGGGUAGUUUGACUGGGGCGGUCUCCUCCCAAAGAGUAACGGAGGAGUACGAAGGUACACUCAGCAUGGUCGGACAUCAUGCGUAGCGUAUAAGAGCGUAAGUGUGCUUGACUGCGAGACUGACGGGUCGAGCAGGUACGAAAGUAGGUUCUAGUGAUCCGGUGGUUCUGUAUGGAAGGGCCAUCGCUUAACGGAUAAAAGGUACGCCGGGGAUAACAGGCUGAUACCGCCCAAGAGUUCAUAUCGACGGCGGUGUUUGGCACCUCGAUGCCGGCUCAUCACAUCCUGGGGCUGAAGCCGGUCCCAAGGGUAUGGCUGUUCGCCAUUUAAAGUGGUACGCGAGCUGGGUUUAGAACGUCGUGAGACAGUUCGGUCCCUAUCUGCCGUGGGCGUUUGAGAUUUGAGAGGAGUUGCUCCUAGUACGAGAGGACCGGAGUGAACGAACCUCUGGUGUUCCGGUUGUCACGCCAGUGGCAUUGCCGGGUAGCUAAGUUCGGAAAAGAUAACCGCUGAAAGCAUCUAAGCGGGAAGCUUGCCUCAAGAUUAGAUCUCGCGGGCGUAAGCCCCUAAAGGUUCGUCGGAGACUACGACGUUGAUAGGCUGGGUGUGGUAGCGUAGUAAUACGUGCAGCUAACCAGUACUAAUUAACCGUGAGACUUGACCAU